UGACCAGCCAUGCCGCGUGAGGGAUGAAGGCCUUCGGGUUUGUAAAGUUCUUUUUCGGAAGAGAAGAACAUGCAUGUGUUAAUACUACAUGCGUUGACGGUACCAGCAGAAUAAGCCCCGGCUAACUACGUGCCAGCAGCCGCGGUAAU
rnacentral:rRNA from 1 species